rnacentral:rRNA from 1 species
UGGGGAAUUUUGGACAAUGGGGGAAACCCUGAUCCAGCCAUCCCGCGUGUGCGAUGAAGGCCUUCGGGUUGUAAAGCACUUUUGGCAGGAAAGAAACGUCAUGGGUUAAUACCCCGUGAAACUGACGGUACCUGCAGAAUAAGCACCGGCUAACUACGUGCCAGCAGCCGCGGUAAUACGUAGGGUGCAAGCGUUAAUCGGAAUUACUGGGCGUAAAGCGUGCGCAGGCGGUUCGGAAAGAAAGAUGUGAAAUCCCAGAGCUCAACUUUGGAACUGCAUUUUUAACUACCGGGCUAGAGUGUGUCAGAGGGAGGUGGAAUUCCGCGGGUAGCAGUGAAAUGCGUAGAUAUGCGGAGGAAAACCGAUGGCGAAGGCAGCCUCCUGGGAUAACACUGACGCUCAUGCACGAAAGCGUGGGGAGCAAACAGG